UUAGGAAGACAGGAUUCGAACCUGCACUUAGAAACUCAAAAUUACUUGUACUCCAUUACUACAACCUCCUA
rnacentral:tRNA from 1 species